AACGAACGCUGGCGGCAGGCCUAACACAUGCAAGUCGAACGCCGUGGCAAUACGGAGUGGCAGACGGGUGAGUAACACGUGGGAACGUACCCUUCGGUUCGGAAUAACUCAGGGAAACUUGAGCUAAUACCGGAUACGUCCGAGAGGAGAAAGAUUUAUCGCCGAGGGAUCGGCCCGCGUCUGAUUAGCUUGUUGGUGAGGUAACGGCUCACCAAGGCGACGAUCAGUAGCUGGUCUGAGAGGAUGAUCAGCCACAUUGGGACUGAGACACGGCCCAAACCUCCUACGGGAGGCAGCAGUGGGGAAGUAUUGGACAAUGGGCGCAAGCCUGAUCCAGCCAUGCCGCGUGAGUGAUGAGGGCCCGUAGGGUUGUAAGCUCUUUUACCCGGGUAAGAUAAUGACUGUACCGGGAGAAUAAGCCCCGG
rnacentral:rRNA from 1 species